rnacentral:tRNA from 1 species
AGCUCAGUCGGUAGAGCAGUGGACUGAAAAUCCACGUGUCGGCAGUUCAAUUCUGCCC